rnacentral:rRNA from 1 species
CCUCCUUUUUUCAGCCUUGGGGAAUAUUGCACAACGGGGGAAACCCUGAUGCAGCAACGCCGCGUGAGCGAUGAAGGCCUUCGGGUCGUAAAGCUCUGUCCUAAGGGAAGAAUACUGACGGUACCUUAGGAGGAAGCCCCGGCUAACUACGUGCCAGCAGCCGCGGUAAUACGUAGGGGGCUAGCGUUAUCCGGAAUUACUGGGCGUAAAGGGUGCGUAGGCGGCCCUUCAAGUCAGAGGUGAAAGGCUACGGCUCAACCGUAGUAAGCCUUUGAAACUGUAGGGCUUGAGUGCAGGAGAGAAGAGUGGAAUUCCCAGUGUAGCGGUGAAAUGCGUAGAUAUUGGGAGGAACACCAGUUGCGAAGGCGGCUCUCUGGACUGUAACUGACGCUGAGGCACGAAAGCGUGGGGAGCGAACAGGAUUAGAUACACUGGUAGUC